rnacentral:rRNA from 1 species
GAUGAACGCUGGCGGCGUGCCUAAUACAUGCAAGUCGAGCGAACGGACGAGAAGCUUGCUUCUCUGAUGUUAGCGGCGGACGGGUGAGUAACACGUGGAUAACCUACCUAUAAGACUGGGAUAACUUCGGGAAACCGGAUCUAAUACCGGAUAAUAUUUUGAACCGCAUGGUUCAAACGUGAAAGACGGUCUUGCUGUCACUUAUAGCUGAACCCGCGCUGCAUUAGCUAGUUGGUAAGGUAACGGCUUACCAAGGCAACGAUGCAUAGCCGACCUGAGAGGGUGAUCGGCCACACUGGAACUGAGACACGGUCCAGACUCCUACGGGAGGCAGCAGUAGGGAAUCUUCCGCAAUGGGCGAAAGCCUGACGGAGCAACGCCGCGUGAGUGAUGAAGGUCUUCGGAUCGUAAAACUCUGUUAUUAGGGAAGAACAUAUGUGUAAGUAACUGUGCACAUCUUGACGGUACCUAAUCAGAAAGCCACGGCUAACUACGUG